rnacentral:rRNA from 1 species
CCUACGGGAGGCAGCAGUAGGGAAUCUUCCACAAUGGGCGAAAGCCUGAUGGAGCAACGCCGCGUGGGUGAAGAAGGUCUUCGGAUCGUAAAACCCUGUUGUUAGAGAAGAAAGUGCGUGAGAGUAACUGUUCACGUUUCGACGGUAUCUAACCAGAAAGCCACGGCUAACUACGUGCCAGCAGCCGCGGGAAUACGUAGGUGGCAAGCGUUAUCCGGAUUUAUUGGGCGUAAAGGGAACGCAGGCGGUCUUUUAAGUCUGAUGUGAAAGCCUUCGGCUUAACCGGAGUAGUGCAUUGGAAACUGGGAGACUGGAGUGCAGAAGAGGAGAGUGGAACUCCAUGUGUAGCGGUGAAAUGCGUAGAUAUAUGGAAGAACACCAGUGGCGAAAGCGGCUCUCUGGUCUGUAACUGACGCUGAGGUUCGAAAGCGUGGGUAGCAAACAGGAUUAGAUACCCGUGUAGUC